rnacentral:rRNA from 1 species
UUCGGUGGCCAUAGCGUAGGGGUUCCACCCGUACCCAUUCCGAACACGGAAGUUAAGCCCUACAGCGCCGAUGGUACUGUACUUGAGAGAGUGUGGGAGAGUAGGACGCCGCCGGAU